GCCUACCACAGCAGCCCCCGCUGCUAGUCUCCUAGUGAGGCGACACGCUCAAUUUGCGGAGAGGUCCUCUUCGGAGGAAAAUCCGCAGCCCACCUCCCCUACCCGGAGGUCGGUUCAGAGGCUCAAUGAGUGUGGGUUCAGCGCAGCUGAGCUUAAGAUAGAGUCCGUCUUGGCUGGCAACAGCGAAGAUUCAACGGAACCUGCGGAAGGAUCAUUAAAGAAUACAUGGCCUUCGGGUCCUAUUCUCACCCUUUGUUUACCAAAACUCUUGUUGCCUUGGCGCAUUCGUGCGCCAAAGGAAUCAAACCCUUGAAUCUCUGCUGUCUGAGUACUAUAUAAUAGUUAAAACUUUCAACAACGGAUCUCUUGGUUCUGGCAUCGAUGAAGAACGCAGCGAAAUGCGAUAAGUAAUGUGAAUUGCAGAAUUCAGUGAAUCAUCGAAUCUUUGAACGCACAUUGCGCCUCCUGGUAUUCCGGGAGGCAUGCCUGUUCGAGCGUCAUUACAACCCUCAAGCUCUGCUUGGUAUUGGGCUCGCCUCCUUUGGCCUGCCUCAAAAUCAGUGGCGGCACAGUCCGAUCCUCAAGCGCAGUAAUACACGACGCUUGCUGGUGAAGGUUGCUGCUCCAGAAACCCCCCACAAACUAAAGGUUGACCUCGGAUCAGGUAGGGAUACCCGCUGAACUUAAGCAUAUCAAUAAGCGGAGGAA
rnacentral:rRNA from 1 species